CCUACGGGACGCAGCAGUAGGGAAUCUUCCACAAUGGGCGAAAGCCUGAUGGAGCAACGCCGCGUGGGCGAAGAAGUAUUUCGGUAUGUAAAGCCCUAUCAGCAGGGAAGAAGAAAUGACGGUACCUGAGUAAGAAGCACCGGCUAGAUACGUGCCAGCAGCCGCGGUAAUACGUAUGGUGCAAGCGUUAUCCGGAUUUACUGGGUGUAAAGGGAGCGCAGGCGGCACGGCAAGCCUGAUGUGAAAGCCCGCGGCCCAACCGCGGGACUGCAUUGGGAACUACCGGGCUGGAGUGCCGGAGCGGG
rnacentral:rRNA from 1 species